CCUACGGGUGGCAGCAGUGAGGAAUAUUGGUCAAUGGACGAGAGUCUGAACCAGCCAAGUAGCGUGAAGGAUGACUGCCCUAUGGUUUGUAAACUUCUUUUAUAUGGGACUAAAAUGUUCCACUUGUGAGCUUUUGUAUUUACCAUAUGAAUAAGGAUCGGCUAACUCCGUGCCAGCAGCCGCGGUAAUCCGGAGAAGCCGGGCGUUAUCCGGAUUUAUUGGGUUUAAGGGGAGCGUAGGUGGAUUGUUAAGUCAGUUUUGAAAGUUUGCGGCUAAAGCGUAAAAGUGCAGUUGAAACUGGCAGUCUUGAGUACAGUAGAGGUGGGCGGAAUGCGUGGUGUAGCGGUGAAAUGCUUAGAUAUCACGAAGAACUCCGAUUGCGAAGGCAGUUCACUGGACUGCAACUGACACUGAGGCUCGAAAGUGUGGGUAUCAAACAGGAUUAGAUACCCUAGUAGUC
rnacentral:rRNA from 1 species